AUUGAACGCUGGCGGCAGGCCUAACACAUGCAAGUCGAGCGAGCGGCGGACGGGUGAGUAAUGUCUGGGAAACUGCCCGAUGGUGGGGGAUAACUACUGGAAAAGGUAGCUAAUACCGCAUAUCAUCUGAUCUGCCCAGAUGGGAUCUGCUAGUGGGUGGGGUAACGCCUCACCUAGGCGACGAGCUCUAGCUGGACUGAGAGGAUGACCAGCCAGACGGGAACUGAGACACGGUCCAGACUCCGACGGGAGGCAGCAGUGGGAAAUAUUGCACAAGGGGGGCAAGCCGGAUGCAGCAAUGCCGCGUGUGUGAAGAAGGCCUUCGGGUGGGAAAGCACUUUCAGCGGGGAGGCGUUACCCGCAGAAGAAGCACCGGCUAACUACGUGCCAGCAGCCGCGGUAAUAC
rnacentral:rRNA from 1 species